ensembl:snRNA U6 U6 spliceosomal RNA
GUGCUUAUUUGGCAAUACAUAUACUAAAAUUGAAACAACAAAGAGAAGAUUAGCCUGGCCCCUGCUCAAGGAUGACAUGCAAACUCAUGAUGCAUUCCACAUUUAA